ACGUCAUUCGUUACAUCUACGAGUCGCGCCCAGUUCAACUCGUCUGGGCGGACUCAACGUUGCUUCUCGGCCGAGCUUCGCUCAGCUUGCUCGCCGCGAACAAAGAGGGAGACGCGUUCGUGAUCGACACGCCGCUCGGCAGAGAUCAAGUGUGAAAAUGAGCGCAAGAAGGACAGAAGAGACGCAACGUCAACUACUGGACGAUGUUCGCACAAGGCAGCCUCGAGUUUGGUGACGCCGAGCAGCGGAGGAACCUUCAUCGGUGUGUGCGUGCGUGCGUGCGUGCGUUGCGUUGUGUUGGUUUGAAUAAUGCUGUGACACCGGGACCUUUUUGGAGACGAUCUCCGUUUAUUCUGAUAAAAAUAGACAACAGCAGAGCCUCCAUGGAAAUUGCACCGUCCGCUCAAAUAAAAUAUUAUUUCCCAAUGCAACUCCGCUGACACGGAGCCAUUGUGAGAUCAAUGAACAUUGAGACCAGAGAUGCAUAUAAUAAACAAAGAGAAACACGA